AGAGUUUGAUCCUGGCUCAGGACGAACGCUGGCGGCGUGCCUAAUACAUGCAAGUCGAGCGGACAGAUGGGAGCUUGCUCCCUGAUGUUAGCGGCGGACGGGUGAGUAACACGUGGGUAACCUGCCUGUAAGACUGGGAUAACUCCGGGAAACCGGGGCUAAUACCGGAUGGUUGUUUGAACCGCAUGGUUCAAACAUAAAAGGUGGCUUCGGCUACCACUUACAGAUGGACCCGCGGCGCAUUAGCUAGUUGGUGAGGUAACGGCUCACCAAGGCAACGAUGCGUAGCCGACCUGAGAGGGUGAUCGGCCACACUGGGACUGAGACACGGCCCAGACUCCUACGGGAGGCAGCAGUAGGGAAUCUUCCGCAAUGGACGAAAGUCUGACGGAGCAACGCCGCGUGAGUGAUGAAGGUUUUCGGAUCGUAAAGCUCUGUUGUUAGGGAAGAACAAGUACCGUUCGAAUAGGGCGGUACCUUGACGGUACCUAACCAGAAAGCCACGGCUAACUACGUGCCAGCAGCCGCGGUAAUACGUAGGUGGCAAGCGUUGUCCGGAAUUAUUGGGCGUAAAGGGCUCGCAGGCGGUUUCUUAAGUCUGAUGUGAAAGCCCCCGGCUCAACCGGGGAGGGUCAUUGGAAACUGGGGAACUUGAGUGCAGAAGAGGAGAGUGGAAUUCCACGUGUAGCGGUGAAAUGCGUAGAGAUGUGGAGGAACACCAGUGGCGAAGGCGACUCUCUGGUCUGUAACUGACGCUGAGGAGCGAAAGCGUGGGGAGCGAACAGGAUUAGAUACCCUGGUAGUCCACGCCGUAAACGAUGAGUGCUAAGUGUUAGGGGGUUUCCGCCCCUUAGUGCUGCAGCUAACGCAUUAAGCACUCCGCCUGGGGAGUACGGUCGCAAGACUGAAACUCAAAGGAAUUGACGGGGGCCCGCACAAGCGGUGGAGCAUGUGGUUUAAUUCGAAGCAACGCGAAGAACCUUACCAGGUCUUGACAUCCUCUGACAAUCCUAGAGAUAGGACGUCCCCUUCGGGGGCAGAGUGACAGGUGGUGCAUGGUUGUCGUCAGCUCGUGUCGUGAGAUGUUGGGUUAAGUCCCGCAACGAGCGCAACCCUUGAUCUUAGUUGCCAGCAUUCAGUUGGGCACUCUAAGGUGACUGCCGGUGACAAACCGGAGGAAGGUGGGGAUGACGUCAAAUCAUCAUGCCCCUUAUGACCUGGGCUACACACGUGCUACAAUGGACAGAACAAAGGGCAGCGAAACCGCCAGGUUAAGCCAAUCCCGCAAAUCUGUUCUCAGUUCGGAUCGCAGUCUGUAACUCGACUGCGUGAGGCCGGAAUCGCUAGUAAUCGCGGAUCAGCAUGCCGCGGUGAAUACGUUCCC
rnacentral:rRNA from 1 species